AUUGAUCGCUGGCGGCAUGCCUUACACAUGCAAGUCGAACGGUAACAGGUUAAGCUGACGAGUGGCGAACGGGUGAGUCAUGUAUCGGAACGUGCCCAGUCGUGGGGGAUAACUGCUCGAAAGAGCAGCUAAUACCGCAUACGACCUGAGGGUGAAAGCGGGGGAUCGCAAGACCUCGCGCGAUUGGAGCGGCCGAUAUCAGAUUAGGUAGUUGGUGAGGUAAAGGCUCACCAAGCCGACGAUCUGUAGCUGGUCUGAGAGGACGACCAGCCACACUGGGACUGAGACACGGCCCAGACUCCUACGGGAGGCAGCAGUGGGGAAUUUUGGACAAUGGGCGCAAGCCUGAUCCAGCCAUGCCGCGUGCGGGAAGAAGGCCUUCGGGUUGUAAACCGCUUUUGUCAGGGAAGAAAAGGUUCUGGCUAAUACCUGGGACUCAUGACGGUACCUGAAGAAUAAGCACCGGCUAACUACGUG
rnacentral:rRNA from 1 species